AUUGAACGCUGGCGGCAGGCCUAACACAUGCAAGUCGAGCGGAUGAAGGGAGCUUGCUCCUGGAUUCAGCGGCGGACGGGUGAGUAAUGCCUAGGAAUCUGCCUGGUAGUGGGGGAUAACGUCCGGAAACGGGCGCUAAUACCGCAUACGUCCUGAGGGAGAAAGUGGGGGACCUUCGGACCUCACGCUAUCAGAUGAGCCUAGGUCGGAUUAGGUAGUUGGUGGGGUAAAGGCCUACCAAGGCGACGAUCCGUAACUGGUCUGAGAGGAUGAUCAGUCACACUGGAACUGAGACACGGUCCAGACUCCUACGGGAGGCAGCAGUGGGGAAUAUUGGACAAUGGGCGAAAGCCUGAUCCAGCCAUGCCGCGUGUGUGAAGAAGGUCUUCGGAUUGUAAAGUGCUUUUAGUUGGGACGAAGGGGAGUUAGUUAAUACCUUGCUCUUAUGACGUUACCGAAAGAAUAAGCACCGGCUAACUACGUG
rnacentral:rRNA from 1 species